UACAGAGGUCUCAAGCGUUUGUUCGGAAUUACUGGGCGUAAAGGGCGCGCAGGCGGCUGAUCAAGUCAGAUGUGAAAGCCCCGGGCUCAACCUGGGAACUGCAUUUGUGACUGCAUAGCUAGAGUACGGUAGAGGGGGAUGGAAUUCCGCGUGUAGCAGUGAAAUGCGUAGAUAUGCGGGAGGAACACCGAUGGCGAAGGCAAUCCCCUGGACCUGUACUGACGCUCAUGCACGAAAGCGUGGGGAGCAAACGAGG
rnacentral:rRNA from 1 species